GAGUUUGAUCGUGGCUCAGAUUGAACGCUGGCGGCAGGCCUAACACAUGCAAGUCGAGCGGUAGAGAGAAGCUUGCUUCUCUUGAGAGCGGCGGACGGGUGAGUAAUGCCUAGGAAUCUGCCUGGUAGUGGGGGAUAACGCUCGGAAACGGACGCUAAUACCGCAUACGUCCUACGGGAGAAAGCAGGGGACCUUCGGGCCUUGCGCUAUCAGAUGAGCCUAGGUCGGAUUAGCUAGUUGGUGAGGUAAUGGCUCACCAAAGGCGACGAUCCGUAACUGGUCUGAGAGGAUGAUCAGGUCACACUGGAACUGAGACACGGUCCAGACUCCUACGGGAGGCAGCAGUGGGGGAAUAUUGGACAAUGGGCGAAAGCCUGAUCCAGCCAUGCCGCGUGUGUGAAGAAGGUCUUCGGAUUGUGAAGCAC
rnacentral:rRNA from 1 species